rnacentral:rRNA from 1 species
UACGUAGGGUCCGAGCGUUGUCCGGAAUUACUGGGCGUAAAGAGCUCGUAGGUGGUUUGUCGCGUUGUUCGUGAAAAACUCACAGCUCAACUGUGGGCGUGCGGGCGAUACGGGCAGACUUGAGUACUGCAGGGGAGACUGGAAUUCCUGGUGUAGCGGUGGAAUGCGCAGAUAUCAGGAGGAACACCGGUGGCGAAGGCGGGUCUCUGGGCCACUACUGACGUGAGAAGCGAAAAGCAUGGGGGAGCGAAACAGG